UCCCGAUGCUAUUUCUAGAGAUAGAAAGUUACUUCGGUACAGUCGGUGACAGGUGGUGCAUGGUUGUCGUCAGCUCGUGUCGUGAGAUGUUGGGUUAAGUCCCGCAACGAGCGCAACCCUAUUGUUAGUUGCCAUCAUUCAGUUGGGCACUCUAGCGAGACUGACCGGUAAUAAACCGGAGGAAGGUGGGGAUGACGUCAAAUCAUCAUCGCCCCUUAUGACCUGGGCUACACACGUGCUACAAUGGUUGGUACAACGAGUUGCGAGUCGGUGACGGCGAGCUAAUCUCUUAAAGCCAAUCUCAGUUCGGAUUGUAGGCUGCAACUCGCCUACAUGAAGUCGGAAUCGCUAGUAAUCGCGGAUCAGCACGCCGCGGUGAAUACGUUCCCGGGCCUU
rnacentral:rRNA from 1 species